UAAAUAUUUUCUCCUACACUGAGUUUCUUAGGCAGCUAGAAGAGGCAGAGUUGGAGCAGGGCUCUGGUACCUGGGGGAGGGGUGGUCCCAGAGAUGUGUCCAGGACCCCAAGAGGCUGCUCCCUGGGGCAGCAGGGCCCUCGGGGGACUUUGUACCCAGGCAGAGCUCAGACUGAGGCCUUGGGGACCACUGAGUUCCCAUGCCCCUCUCCCUCGCCCAGCCCUGCAGCCCUGUGUACUGGGCAGAGCUGAGCCCAGGCAGGGGUUCAGCAAAAGGGAGACAGGCAGGAAGAGACGGAUCUAAGGGGUCUAAGUAACAUGGUUUAUGCCAUCAGAGGUUAGUGUGUUAAAAACCCACUGGUGGGGGCCGGGGAUUUACCUCAGUGGUUUCACCACCUGCUGCGCAAGCACAAGGACCCGAGUUUGAUCCCCGGUACCAAAAGAAAACAAAAGCAAAACCAAAAAAACCCCACUGGUACUGGCCAUCUUUGUGUGACUCCCAGAGAGCCAAAAGAAGGGAAAAUGAAACUAAGAAAACGCUGCCAAGCCAGUAGAUUGUAUGGAUGGGAGGAAUAAACUCAAGGGAGGAUGGGCUGUUCGCAGGAGCAUAAAGUCAGAUGUCAGGAAUGAUUACAGACACCUUCAUCAUGGGGCAAGUGAGAAUUCAAGAGGAAAAGCAACAAAAUGUACAAAGAGGAUGAUAGUGCACAUGGCUAGAACUUCCUAUCCAUCAGGAAGGUGCAAUAACCCGAACAUCUACACAACAUUUGUCAGGGCAGCUUUGACAUCUGCAGUGGUGGUGAGUGGCUGGAAACCCUCGUCUCAGGGAUUUUAGUCAGCCAUGGAGAUGAGUGGACGGCAGGCGCGUCUCUCCCGGGGCUGUGGAGCUGAGUACGCUGUUGAGCAACCACAGCAGGUGCAGAAUGCUAUGCACAGGGUCCCGCAGGCGGAUUUAAUAUCUAAAGCCAGUACUGCGUAACUUUCAUGGUCACAUAAAUAUGCAGUGAAGGUACAGAGCGUGCUCGGGAAUGGUGAACAGCAGAGCUGCGUUGGGGCUCCUCUGCAGAGGGAGGUCGGGUGGAAGAGCGGAAGUGUGUUCAUUCCAUCCCGGACAGCAGUCAGCACAGACACAGGAGCUUGAAGCAGCACCACCUUGCCUCUGUUUCCUGUAGUCGGAAGUCCGCAUGAGGGUUAGCAAGAUCCUCUGGCAAAACAAGGUGCUGGCCGGGCUGUGGGCACACGUAGGGCCCCAGGUCCUCCUGCAAGGUCACUCCAGUUGUUGGAAGAAUCCAAUUCCUUCAGCUGGAGGAUUCUUCUUUUUUUGUUUUUUUGAUGGCCAUUGGCUGGGUCUUUCUCAUCUCCUCGAGGCUGAUCUCACGUCCUGGCUCUGCAGCCGUCUCCAUAAAUGUUACCUUUUUACCAUUAAUAAUUUAAUUUAAAAAUUUUUUUUUUUUUGGAACCGAGGAUGGAACUUGGGACCUUGUGCUUGCGAGGCAGGCACCAGAACCACUGAGCUAAAUCCCCGGCCCGAUGUUACCUUUUUAAUCAGGGUACCAAGAGUGCAUUGGCUGUGGCUUUGAACCCCUCUGACUUUCAACUCUGGAAACUCUUUUUAAAAUCACCUGAUUAAGUCAGGCCCACCCACCUCAAGGGGAGGGGAUCACAGGAUCUGCACCCCAAGGGUCAGGAGUCGCCAGUGCUGUCUUAGAACCCACAGGAAGGAUGCACAGUGGGUACCAAUUGUGCUGCAGACUGUACUGAAAAUAUCUACAGCCAACAUGGCUUCAUGUUAAGGUCUCUGGAAAGUAGCUGGUGGAUACCAGGGGUUUGAUUUUCUUAUUCUUUUCUCCUACAUUAUUGAAAAUAUUUCACACAUACAAAAUUAAUGAACUAAAACACCAAAAUGCACCCUCUAUUAAAGGAGUAAAGAAAUUAUAAAUUAUUUAGAAAUAAAUAAUAAUGAAUAUUAAAACCUGAAUAAUAUAGACAUUACACAAUUAGAGAAAAAUUUACAGCCUACAUUAGAUAUACUACAAACAAGAGAAACUGAAAAUCAGUGAAAUAAUUUUACAACUAAAAACAGUGGAAAAGAAACAACAAAUUAAAUCUGAAGAAAGGGAGGCAUUAGUGAAGAUAAAACUAGAAAGUAAUGGUCAAAAUAAAAUAUUGGAUGAAUGAGCACAACUUUCCCCUUGAACAGGCGUGGCUUAGUUACUUUUCUCAUUGCUGAGACAAAAUACCCGAUGCCCACAAGUUAAGGGAGGACAGGUUCAUUUAGCUCACAGUGUGUGGAGGUUUCCGUCCAUAGUCGGUUGGCUCCAAGGCAGGGGGCCUGGCAGAGGAGGAGCAGCUCAGAGAAGCAAGGGCCCUCAGCAGCUGCUUUCUGCCACCUUUAUAGUCUUUCUUGGGUACUGGGAUCAGGGCAGGUGCACAACCAAUCAGGACUGAUUUAGUAAUCACACACCCUUAAUCCUAGCAUUGCACCAUGAAUCAGUCACACACCUUAGAUCCAGCCACCUCUGAAAAAGCUCCAUCUCUGACCACUUGAGGCUUGUGGGGACAGCUAGACACAGCCAUAACAAGGCUGGUAAAUAGAUAAAAAGUUGGCAAGCCUGAUCGAGAACAAAAGUGGAAACUUAGAAGACAAGGGAUGUAGUUCCAGGAACAGAGAAUAUUUUAAAACUAUAAAAGAAUGAUAUUGUGUGGCAAUAUUAUUCAAACAUCUAUGUGAAAUGGGUGCUUUCUAGAGAAAUAUUAGAGUUGCCUCUAAAAAAGAUACCAGGCCCCGAUGGUUUUAUGGGAGGAUUCCCUAAGCCUCAAAGGCACAGAUAAUUCCCAUGUGAAGGGAAUCAUGUUCCCAGCAUGCUCUAUGAGUGGUGUAUGCUGAUAUUAAAACAACGCAAGGAUAGGAUAAGCAAGGAAAAUGGUAAUUUCACUCUGUAAUUCAAUACAUUAGGAAAUAGAUUUAUGAAUUUAAUAUAUGACAUAAUGUUUAAUAUUUAACUCAUGUUUAUGCAUAAACGUAAGAGCAAGAAUCAAGCUAUGACAAAGCCGGGGAACUACAGUCACCAUCUCACAUCAGGAGCUGGGAUCACAGAGACCUGCAGAGCUGCCUGCGGGGAGGAGGGCAGCCACAGGUGUCACACAGAGAGGCCCCUGGAGCCCCUGCAGCUUGACUCUGCCCACGAGCCAACAGGGAGAUGCUUCUUCUUAUCACCCUCAUUGCUCUGACUGUGGCUGGAGUCCCAGCCCCACCUCUGCCCUCUCACCUCUCUGGGAGCAGGCGAGAGAUCAUCUGCCCAAGAGAGGACGCCUUUCCAGGGAGGAGCGCACCGAGGGGGCCCUGCCAGCCCCUGGGGUCCUCACCUUGCCUUCUUCAAGCAGGGACAGGACGGCCUUGAAGGAGGGAGCUGCAGGGUGCCCAUCCCUUCAGGAUGCCAGCCAUCAUGAGGAGGGCCCACCUCAGUUUGCCUCUGCCAAGACCCUGCCUGUUAAUCGCAUCGCUUCCGGUGGUCCUGAGGCCUAGGAAUUCAACCUGUGAGUUUGGAGGGAUGGAACUCAACCCGUGGUGGUCACCUGACGUAGCCAUCACCCAGAACUCAUCCUUUGUCCUCUCCGAUUUCCCCAGCAGGGCAGUGGUUGGGGGCGGCUUGGCGGGCGGUGCUGGGUGCCAGGGAGCAGGGCGCUGUCCCCGGAGGGUGUGAUGAGCAGAGGUUCAGUUUCCACUGUGUGGCUGUGGGUGGAGGCCUCGGCCCUCCCGGACCCCCACAGCAUGCCGGAGUGUCCCCCCACUCGGUGACUGGUCCUCUGCUGGGGACCGGGAGAGCCAGCGUGCCUUUUCUGACCGGCCUUGGGCGUCACGGGUGUCCCUUCCAGCCUGUGCUCUUGAUCACAGAGGCUGCUCCCGCUGGAGCUGGGAGGAGGUUCCGAAGGUGAGUCCCGGGAGGGAGGGCUUCGUUCCUGACCCGGCUGGCUGACCAGACUUCUGCUUUCCAGCCAGUGGGACGUGGAGGGAGGAGUGAGGCCCCUUCCUGCUAACUGGGGACGUGGGAGUUGCAGUCGCCUCUUUUCAAAUCACCCUCGCUGAAAGUCAGUGGCACAGCCACACAGGGCUGGAGGAAGGGCGGGAGACCGCUGUCACCUUCAGGGCCCGGCCCAGCUCAGCUGGGACCCAGGAGCCUCUCAGCGUGGGCCAGCUGCUGGCCCUUCCCCCAGCUGGCUGUGGCUUCAGAAGCAGCCCUACAAGGGGCAGAGGAGGGUACCAUGUGUGCUCCCCGUGGAUUCUGAGAGCUCACACAGAGCUGUCCCCAGAGCUGUGGGUGUCACUGGAGGCAGAAGCAGAGGUCAGCGGGAAGCACCUGGCAAGUCUGACACAAUCUCGCCACUGUCCAACCUGAAUCCCGGGCAGGAGCUCCACCAUGUGCCGGGGGGCGGGGAACUCCCACACCCUGUCUUGCAGGCUUCUGGUGACGGCCGGUGACGUGAUUGCUUUCCAGGAAAACCCUGGGUUUGGGUCCUGUUAUCCAGGGGCCUCCACUGGGAAACUGAGGCUGCCCUGUGGGUCCCAGUCCAGGGGCUUGAGAUGGUGCCCACUGAGCUCUGCCUUUUCCUGGGCCCAUGGCUGCAGCUGGAAUGGGGCCCCUUCCUGACCAGGGCCACCACUUCCCUCUCUGCUGGGCUCUCUCCAAGGCACUGGGGCCUUUGCACGGCCCAGGAUCUUCCACAGCCUAUGGACCCCUACUAGGAUCAUAUUUUUAUGUAUAUAUGUAUGUAUGCACACAUGCAUAUAUGUAUGCAUUCAUGUACUCCUGAAUGCAUGCACAUGCGUACACAUACAAUGGUACCACAAACACUUUUGUUUAUAAACAGUUUGGUCUGAAAACAGAAGUCUUUGGCAAAAUUUUGAUUUUUUUGCAAACUCUGCAUUGGGUGACAAACAUGAUCAAGGCCAUCUUUCCCACACAAACACAAACGUGGCCAUCUGUCCCCAAACUGUAGAACAAAUUAUGAACCGAGGCACCACUGUACAUGUAUAUCCGCGUGUAUGAAUUCUGUGGUGCUGGGGAUCGAACCUGGGGCCUCACAAAUGCUAGAAAAGUGCUCUGCUGCCGAGCUUCAUCCCUAGCCCAGGAUAAUAUUUUUAAAUGCAUAAAAAAUCCCCACAAAGGAUUAUAAAGAAAAUCAAUUGAAAUAUAGCAAUCAAAAUAUUAAAAAUA